rnacentral:rRNA from 1 species
AUCAUGAGUUCACAUGUCCGCAUGAUUAAAGGUAUUUUCCGGUAGACGAUGGGGAUGCGUUCCAUUAGAUAGUAGGCGGGGUAACGGCCCACCUAGUCAACGAUGGAUAGGGGUUCUGAGAGGAAGGUCCCCCACAUUGGAACUGAGACACGGUCCAAACUCCUACGGAAGGCAGCAGUGAGGAAUAUUGGUCAAUGGGCGAUGGCCUGAACCGGCCAAGUAGCGUGAAGGAUGACUGCCCUAUGGGUUGUAAACUUCUUUUAUAAAGGAAUAAAGUCGGGUAUGCAUACCCGUUUGCAUGUACUUUAUGAAUAAGGAUCGGCUAACUCCGUGCCAGCAGCCGCGGUAAUACGGAGGAUCCGAGCGUUAUCCGGAUUUAUUGGGUUUAAAGGGAGCGUAGAUGGAUGUUUAAGUCAGUUGUGAAAGUUUGCGGCUCAACCGUAAAAUUGCAGUUGAUACUGGAUGUCUUGAGUGCAGUUGAGGCAGGCGGAAUUCGUGGUGUAGCGGUGAAAUGCUUAGAUAUCACGAAGAACUCCGAUUG